rnacentral:rRNA from 1 species
GAUUACCCGCUGAACUUAAGCAUAUCACUAAGCGGAGGAAAAGAAACUAACAAGGAUUCCCUCAGUAACGGCGAGUGAAGCGGGACGAGCCCAGCACCGAAUCCCCCGGCAUGCAGCCGGCGGGAAAUGUGGUGUGUGGGACGCCAACUGUCGUCCGCGCUGGAGACCGAAGUCCUCCUGAUCGUGGCCUCUCCCACAGCGGGUGUCAGGCCUUUACUGGUCUCUGGCCGGGCGGCUGCGAGCGUCUCAGGAGUCGGGGUUGUUUGUGAAUGCAG